rnacentral:misc_RNA from 1 species
CUGAAGAUUUGGUCGCAAGACCGCUCUUCCACCCUUUGUUUACCAUACCAUGUUGCUUUGGCGAGUCGCCCUAGGCCACCGGCUUCGGCUGGUGCGUGCUCGCCAGAGACCUCAACCAACCUGAUUUUUGUGUUUGUCUGAACAACUUUUAAAUUAUUA